CCUACGGGCGGCAGCAGUCGAGAAUCAUUCACAAUGGGGGAAACCCUGAUGGUGCGACGCCGCGUGGGGGAAUGAAGGUCUUCGGAUUGUAAACCCCUGUCAUGUGGGAGCAAAUUAAAAAGAUCGUACCACAAGAGGAAGAGACGGCUAACUCUGUGCCAGCAGCCGCGGUAAUACAGAGGUCUCAAGCGUUGUUCGGAAUCACUGGGCGUAAAGCGUGCGUAGGCUGUUUCGUAAGUCGUGUGUGAAAGGCGCGGGCUCAACCCGCGGACGGCACAUGAUACUGCGAGACUAGAGUAAGGGAGGGGGAACCGGAAUUCUCGGUGUAGCAGUGAAAUGCGUAGAUAUCGAGAGGAACACUCGUGGCGAAGGCGGGUUCCUGGACAUUAACUGACGCUGAGGCACGAAGGCCAGGGGAGCGAAAGGGAUUAGAUACCCCAGUAGUC
rnacentral:rRNA from 1 species